UCUUGCACACAUAGAAUUGAUAGGUCUAGUCCUGAACGGUUCAAUGAUGGGAUCAGCCUAAGGGAUUGGCUUAAACCUGGGCAUAGUAAACUAAACAAAGCUGAAAGUGUGCUUAUAUUCAGGCAGAUUGUGGAGUUAGUGGAUUCUGCACACUCUCAAGGAGUUGUCUUAAAUGACUUACGGCCAUCUUGUUUCUUUUUACUGCAAUCAAGUAGAGUUAAAUACACUGGUUCUUCUACUUGAUGUCAGAGAAUUAGAGGGUGUGAUGUGUCAAGAAUCAUUUCGGAAAAGGCCAUUGGAACAAAAUGAGCAUGCCUACCUUAGUUUGGGUGCAAAGCAGCGAAGAAUAUAACCCCAAGUUCUGGUAAUGAAAUUUUAGGACGAUUUGAAAUUCUGGGUUUUGUGAAUUUUUCAAGAAAGCAGUGUGUGAGGCGGCUCCAACUAAGAAAGCAGACUCAGCUGCAAAGAGGGCUCGUCAAGCUGAGAAAAGG